rnacentral:rRNA from 1 species
ACACAUGCAGUCGAGCGGAUGACAGGAGCUUGCUCCUGAAUUCAGCGGCGGACGGGUGAGUAAUGCCUAGGAAUCUGCCUGGUAGUGGGGACAACGUUUCGAAAGGAACGCUAAUACCGCAUACGUCCUGCGGGAGAAAGCAGGGGACCUUCGGGCCUUGCGCUAUCAGAUGAGCCUAGGUCGGAUUAGCUAGUUGGUGAGGUAAUGGCUCACCAAGGCGACGAUCCGUAACUGGUCUGAGAGGAUGAUCAGUCACACUGGAACUGAGACACGGUCCAGACUCCUACGGGAGGCAGCAGUGGGGAAUAUUGGACAAUGGGCGAAAGCCUGAUCCAGCCAUGCCGCGUGUGUGAAGAAGGUCUUCGGAUUGUAAAGCACUUUAAGUUGGGAGGAAGGGCAUUAACCUAAUACGUUAGUGUUUUGACGUUACCGACAGAAUAAGCACCGGCUAACUCUGUGCCAGCAGCCGCGGUAAUACAGAGGGUGCAAGCGUUAAUCGGAAUUACUGGGCGUAAAGCGCGCGUAGGUGGUUUGUUAAGUUGGAUGUGAAAUCCCCGGGCUCAACCUGGGAACUGCAUUCAAAACUGACAAGCUAGAGUAUGGUAGAGGGUGGGUUGGAAUUUCCUGUGUAGCGGUGAAAUGCGUA